UACGUAGGGCGCAAGCGUUGUCCGGAAUUAUUGGGCGUAAAGAGCUCGUAGGCGGUCUGUCGCGUCUGGUGUGAAAUCCCAUGGCUCAACUGUGGGCUUGCAUCGGGUACGGGCAGACUAGAGUGCUGUAGGGGAGACUGGAAUUCCUGGUGUAGCGGUGAAAUGCAUAGAUAUGUCACAGAACACCGAUUGCGAAGGCGGGUCUCUGGGCCGAUACUGACGCUGAGGAGCGAAAGCGUGGGGAGCGAACAGG
rnacentral:rRNA from 1 species